rnacentral:rRNA from 1 species
AGUAACGGCGAGUGAAGCGGCAACAGCUCAAAUUUGAAAUCUGGCUUUCGGGCCCGAGUUGUAAUUUGUAGAAGAUGCUUCGGGUGUGGCUCCGGUCUAAGUUCCUUGGAACAGGACGUCAUAGAGGGUGAGAAUCCCGUAUGUGACUGGGUGCCUUCGCCUAUGUGAAGCUCUUUCGACGAGUCGAGUUGUUUGGGA